GACGAACGCUGGCGGCGUGCUUAACACAUGCAAGUCGAACGGAAAGGCCCUGCUUUUGUGGGGUGCUCGAGUGGCGAACGGGUGAGUAACACGUGAGUAACCUGCCCUUGACUUUGGGAUAACUUCAGGAAACUGGGGCUAAUACCGGAUAGGAGCUCCUGCUGCAUGGUGGGGGUUGGAAAGUUUCGGCGGUUGGGGAUGGACGCGCGGCUUAUCAGCUUGUUGGUGGGGUAGUGGCUUACCAAGGCUUUGACGGGUAGCCGGCCUGAGAGGGUGACCAGCCACAUUGGUACUGAGAUACGGCCCAGUCUCCUACGGGAGGCAGCAGUGGGGAAUAUUGCACAAUGGGCGGAAGCCUGAUGCAGCAGCGCCGCGUGCGGGAUGACGGCCUUCGUGUUGUAAACCGCUUUCGCCUGUGACGAAGCGUGAGUGACGGUAAUAGGUAAAGAAGCACCGGCUAACUACGUG
rnacentral:rRNA from 1 species